rnacentral:lncRNA from 1 species
ACAUAAUUAACUACUUCUUCAACUUAGUUAUUUUUGUUAUAAAAACAAAGAGGAAUAAUGUCCAUAUUUUUUUACAAGUGUAAUAUGGAACCUUAGAUUUAUACCUUUGACAUUUUGCAUUUGGUCUCCCAUGUCCAUUGUCUUGAUUUGCUUUAUCUCUACCUUAUCCUCCUCAUCCAUGACCAUUGCCAAGCUCAUAGCCUCUAUCAUGACCUUAGCUCUACCAUGGCCUUAAUUGCUUGGGUUUCC